rnacentral:rRNA from 1 species
AUUGAACGCUGGCGGCAGGCUUAACACAUGCAAGUCGAGCGGAGAUGAGGUGCUUGCACCUUAUCUUAGCGGCGGACGGGUGAGUAAUGCUUAGGAAUCUGCCUAUUAGUGGGGGACAACAUUCCGAAAGGAAUGCUAAUACCGCAUACGUCCUACGGGAGAAAGCAGGGGAUCUUCGGACCUUGCGCUAAUCGAUGAGCCUAAGUCGGAUUAGCUAGUUGGUGGGGUAAAGGCCUACCAAGGCGACGAUCUGUAGCGGGUCUGAGAGGAUGAUCCGCCACACUGAGACUGAGACACGUCCCAGACUCCUACGGGAGGCAUCAGUGGGGAAUAUUGGACAAUGGGGGGAACCCUGAUCCAGCCAUGCCGCGUGUGUGAAGAAGGCCUUAUGGUUGUAAAGCACUUUAAGCGAGGAGGAGGCUCUUUUGGUUAAUACCCAAGAUGAGUGGACGUUACUCGCAGAAUAAGCACCGGCUAACUCUGUGCCAGCCGCCGCCGUAA